rnacentral:rRNA from 1 species
CCUACGGGUGGCAGCAGUGGGGAAUAUUGCGCAAUGGGCGAAAGCCUGACGCAGCGACGCCGCGUGAGGGAUGAAGGUCUUCGGAUCGUAAACCUCUGUCAGCAGGGAAGAACGGUCACUGUGCUAAUCAGCAGUGAAUUGACGGUACCUGCAAAGGAAGCACCGGCUAACUCCGUGCCAGCAGCCGCGGUAAUACGGAGGGUGCGAGCGUUAAUCGGAAUUACUGGGCUUAAAGCGCUCGUAGGCGGUAUGUCAAGUCAAGGGUGAAAUCCCCGCGCUCAACGUGGGAACUGCCUUUGAAACUGGCAAACUGGAGUGUGUGAGAGGAUAGUGGAAUUCCAGGUGUAGGAGUGAAAUGCGUAGAUAUCUGGAGGAACAUCAGUGGCGAAGGCGACUAUCUGGCACAUAACUGACGCUGAGGAGCGAAAGCGUGGGUAGCAAACAGGAUUAGAUACCCUGGUAGUC